rnacentral:rRNA from 1 species
UAAAGAAUUUCGGUUAUCGAUGGGGAUGCGUUCCAUUAGUUAGUUGGCGGGGUAACGGCCCACCAAGACGACGAUGGAUAGGGGUUCUGAGAGGAAGGUCCCCCACAUUGGAACUGAGACACGGUCCAAACUCCUACGGGAGGCAGCAGUGAGGAAUAUUGGUCAAUGGACGAGAGUCUGAACCAGCCAAGUAGCGUGAAGGAUGACUGCCCUAUGGGUUGUAAACUUCUUUUAUAUGGGAAUAAAACAGGGUACGCAUACCCUCUUGUAUGUACCAUAUGAAUAAGGAUCGGCUAACUCCGUGCCAGCAGCCGCGGUAAUACGGAGGAUCCGAGCGUUAUCCGGAUUUAUUGGGUUUAAAGGGAGCGUAGGUGGAUUGUUAAGUCAGUUGUGAAAGUUUGCGGCUCAACCGUAAAAUUGCAGUUGAAACUGGCAGUCUUGAGUACAGUAGAGGUGGGCGGAAUUCGUGGUGUAGCGGUGAAAUGCUUAGAUAUCACGAAGAACUCCGAUUGCGAAGGCAGCUCACUAGACUGCAACUGACACUGAUGCUCGAAAGUGUGGGUAUCAAACAGGAUUAGAUACCCUGGUAGUCCACACAGUAAACGAUGAAUACUCGCUGUUUGCGAUA